AAGUCGUAACAAGGUUUCCGUAGGUGAACCUGCGGAAGGAUCAUUGAUGAAUACGGCCUCGGGAUGGCCCUAAACCCGACACACCCACACCUGUGAACCUGGCGUCCCUCGGGGCGUCGAAAAACCUUUACACCGUAGUGUCAGUCACGAACGUGAAACAGAAAUCAAACACAA
rnacentral:misc_RNA from 1 species